CCGAAGGCGAAACUUCCGGUUGAGAACUCCCUGCCUGCAGGCCGAAGAAUCUUUUUCUUACCUUGAGCACUGAGGGAUGAGCAGCAACUUGCCCCUCCCGACGUUCCCGGGGGUUGCCAGGCGGCAGCGUAACUUUCCACGAAAAGGCGGCUCUCGGAUCGCUCCCGGAGCGUGUGAAAACUGUGGCCCCCGGAGCUGGCUGGAGGACCACGGGGCAGCUGGCUGGAAGUAAACCACACGAUCCUCCGAUUGCCUGGGGGAAGACGGGAGCCAACAGGGAUUAUAAACUAAGUUUCUUUUCAAGGUGUGUUUGCUGUGUUGUGUAGAUUUCAGCUACUACAGUAGGUGAAAGUAGACCGAAGUGAACUGGUGUUUGGAAACAACUCUCUCUCUGGCAUCACUGGGAUGUUCUGAUCGUCGCCUGUUUCAGUCGGCCAGCCUUCCUCACCGCACUCACCGGCCCCAUCGCGGAUGUCCCAGUCGAUCACAGACGCGGACCGCGCGGAGGCCGCACACUUGUGGCGCGGUGUGGUGGUCCCUCCGGCACCACUCCCAUACUUGCAUUUUUCUUUGCAUUUUUGUUUGCUAACAUUUAAAGUGUGGAAUUUCGCAUAAACGUCUGUAUUUCCUCUGCUUGAAAAAGGGUAGGUGACACAAUCCCCAUUAUCAAAAGGCAAUGUUCCGCUGGAGAGGCGCCCCCUUUAGACCAACAAAGCACUUUACCAGUUCACUAAUUUGAAUUACCUGCUUGGCACGGGUAGGCAUUUGAGUUAUAGUCUCUCUUGUAUAGUAUCUCAGAACUGGAAAGGACAAAACAAUCAACUAAUCUAAUCCUUUCAUUUUCUCGGUAAGUUAAACCGAGGCUCCUUGAGGCAAAGUGAUUAAAGAAGGGAUGCUGUGCAUGAAUUAAUUUUACGUAUCCAAUAAUCAUCUGUAAUUUUUUUUGCUCUUUCGAAUUUUAUUUUACCUAGACAUUGUUAAACUUUUAUUAUAAAUAUUUUAAAUGUAUAUGGGAAUAGAAAGCAGAGUAUAAAUAACUGCUAUAUAUGCAUCACCUUGAUUUAGCAUUCAUAUUUUGCCAUGUUAGCAUCAUCUGUAUCUUUUGCUCAAGUGAAAAAAUAAUCAUAGACAUCAUGACAUUACAGCCCUAAAUACAUGAGCAUGUAUUGGUAGAAGAGUGGUUAAUGUUAUCUAACAUAAGCACAAUAUCAUUAUCACACCUAUAAAAAUCAACUAUUCUUCAAUAUCAUCUAAUAACCAUUUCAGAUUCAUAUUUCGACUGUCCUAAAAAUGUCUUUUUACAGUCGAUUUGUUUGUCACUAUAGUUCUGAAAUCCUCCUGUAGGAGCUUUGUCUCUUUGUGCCUACAUUGUUUUCCAUAAACUUAAUCUUGUGGACUUAGUGCCUUUAAAGACUAGAAUUAGCAAAGCAUUUUAUUCCCCCUUUCUACAAUGAUUAAAGGCUGGGGAGAAAGGCUCAACUUGUAGAAGAAAUUUGACCUGCAUGUAAUAGUGGAAUUUUAGAUAUAAUGACAUUUAAUCCUUUAUAAAUGAUCAUUACUUAUUUUAUAAUAGUUUAGUCAUUCCAACUAAUGAAAAUGUUAGUAUUCAGCUUAUGUUAAGAUGGUACAUAGUUAUUUAUACUUGGGAUAUGUUGUGGCAAUGCUGCUUUCUAAAAUUAUUGGUGUUGGGUCAAAGGUGGGGAG
rnacentral:lncRNA from 10 species